rnacentral:rRNA from 1 species
GGUUAAGUCCCGCAACGAGCGCAACCCUUAUCCUUUGUUGCCAGCGGUCCGGCCGGGAACUCAAAGGAGACUGCCAGUGAUAAACUGGAGGAAGGUGGGGAUGACGUCAAGUCAUCAUGGCCCUUACGACCAGGGCUACACACGUGCUACAAUGGCGCAUACAAAGAGAAGCGACCUCGCGAGAGCAAGCGGACCUCAUAAAGUGCGUCGUAGUCCGGAUUGGAGUCUGCAACUCGACUCCAUGAAGUCGGAAUCGCUAGUAAUCGUGGAUCAGAAUGCCACGGUGAAUACGUUCCCGGGCCUUGUACACACCGCCCGUCACACCAUGGGAGUGGGUUGCAAAAGAAGUAGGUAGCUUAACCUUCGGGAGGGCGCUUACCACUUUGUGAUUCAUGACUGGGGUGAA